UUAUCAGAGAGUUUGAUCCUGGCUCAGGAUGAACGCUGGCGGCGUGCUUAACACAUGCAAGUCGAACGGACUGAGGACCUUCGGGUC
rnacentral:rRNA from 1 species